rnacentral:rRNA from 1 species
GAGUUUGAUCCUGGCUCAGGAUGAACGCUAGCGGCAGGCUUAACACAUGCAAGUCGAGGGGUAACAGGGGCGCUUGCGCCCGCUGACGACCGGCGCACGGGUGCGUAACGCGUAUGCAAUCUACCUUUUACAGGGGGAUAGCCCAGAGAAAUUUGGAUUAAUACCUCAUAGCAUAUGGUCUUGGCAUCAAGACCAUAUUAAAGAUUUAUCGGUAAAAGAUGAGCAUGCGUUCUAUUAGCUGGAUGGUAAGGUAACGGCUUACCAUGGCGACGAUAGAUAGGGGCCCUGAGAGGGGGAUCCCCCACACUGGUACUGAGACACGGACCAGACUCCUACGGGAGGCAGCAGUGAGGAAUAUUGGACAAUGGGCGGGAGCCUGAUCCAGCCAUGCCGCGUGCAGGAAGACUGCCCUAUGGGUUGUAAACUGCUUUUGUACAGGAAGAAACACUCCCUCGUGAGGGAGCUUGACGGUACUGUAAGAAUAAGGAUCGGCUAACUCCGUGCCAGCAGCCGCGGUAA